GCUAGACGAACGCUGGCGGCGCGUCUUAAGCAUGCAAGUCGAACGGCAAGAUUGGUGCUUGCACCGAUCUUAGAGUGGCGGACUGGUGAGUAACGCGUGGGUGAUUACCCUGAAGAUGGGGAUAGCCGAUAGAAUAUCGGAUAAUACCGAAUACGCUUGGUGAGGUUAGAGUGCAUCAAGGAAAGGAGCUUCGGCUCCGCUUCAGGAAAGGCCCGCGUACUAUUAGCUAGUUGGUGAGGUAACGGCCCACCAAGGCAACGAUAGUUAUCCGGCCUAAGAGGGUGAACGGACACAUUGGGACUGAGAUACGGCCCAGACUCCUACGGGAGGCAGCAGCUAAGAAUAUUCCGCAAUGGACGAAAGUCUGACGGAGCGACGCCGCGUGGAUGAUGAAGGCCGGAAGGUUGUAAAAUCCUUUUAAGCACGAAGAAUAAGCAGGAGAGGUAAUGCUUCUGUGGUGACUGUACUGCUAGAAUAAGGGGCGGCUAAUUACGUGCCAGCCGCCGC
rnacentral:rRNA from 1 species